CUACGGGAUGCUCCAGUGAGGAAUAUUGCACAAUGGGGGGAACCCUGAUGCAGCAACGCCGCGUGGAGGAUGACGCAUUUCGGUGUGUAAACUCCUUUUAUAUGUCAAGAAAAUGACGGUAGCAUAUGAAUAAGCACCGGCUAACUCCGUGCCAGCAGCCGCGGUAAUACGGAGGGUGCAAGCGUUACUCGGAAUCACUGGGCGUAAAGGACGCGUAGGCGGGUUGGAAAGUCAGGUGUGAAAUCCUACAGCUUAACUGUAGAACUGCACUUGAAACUUCUAAUCUAGAGUAUGGGAGGGGGAGAUGGAGUUAGUGGUGUAGGGGUAAUAUCCGUAGAUAUCACUAGGAAUACCUAAAGCGAAGGCGAUCUCCUGGAACAUUACUGACGCUAAGGCGUGAAAGCGUGGGGAGCAAACAGGAUUAGAUACCCGAGUAGUC
rnacentral:rRNA from 1 species